rnacentral:rRNA from 1 species
AAAGUUGAAAAGUACUCUGAAGAGAGAGUAAACAGUACGUGAAACCGUAUAGAGGUAAACGGGUGGCGUCAAGCUGCAAGCCCAGAGGAUUCAGUUGGUCGUUGUGUGUGUAUGCCUGUGUAUCUCAGUCGGUGGUAGAAGGGCAGUCCACUGGUGACGGUGGGUCCAGUCGCAAGGCUGUGAUGUGCGUUCCGCUCUGGUUGGCGGUGUGCGCUGCUCGACUAUUGGACUGGGCGACCAAUGCACUUCCUCUGAUAUGGUGAACACCACGACCGGUGGAACUGCCAGUCUGGUAUGGCCAAGUCGCGUCUAGUUUGGCACUCGUGUCGGCUGGGUGUGAUCACAGGCAAUUUGGUGGACGGUGGGUUCGCCCAUGUUAUCGGUCACUGGUUGUCAACGGGUGUGUUCGUCGGCGGUUGUAAUACACGGCGGAUGACCUGGUGGGCUAUGCUGGUAAGAAUAACUGUGCAGGGCACCGGAGUGAGCGGCCUCAAAUCUGAUCGGCAUGCACUUUACAAGUGUCAAAUGGGGGCGUCAUUGCGGCCUGUCGUGUGUCGGGUCUGAUCGUCGUGUUGCCUGCGCAAAGUGGGCCCGGCGGUGGCCUGGCUACGGUCGGUGUCGUUGGUGGCGUUUCUGUGUGUCGGUUGGUGUGGGUCUUACAGUCUGUGGUGUGGUGGUAGACGAGCUACCCGACCCGUCUUGAAACACGGACCAAGGAGUUUAACAUGCACGCGAGUCAUUGGGCCUUACGAAACCCAAAGGCGAAGUGAAAGUGAAGCUCGGACUUGUUCUCCGGGUGUGGUGAGAUCCUGCUGUUUCUCGCAUCUACCUUGUGUACUGUGUCAGCACUAGGUAAAGAGCGGUGGGCGCAUCACCGGCCCGUCCCAUGAUGUGGUCAUUGGUUGGUUGUGAUUGUGGCUUCGGCUGUGGUUGCGGCUCCAGUGCGUCAUCGGGGCGGAGCAUGAGCGUGCAUGUUGAGACCCGAAAGAUGGUGAACUAUGCUUGCGUAGGUUGAA